GGCCCGCCGCGGUAACGACGGGUAACGGGGAAUCAGGGUUCGAUUCCGGAGAGGGAGCCCCGAGAAACGGCUACCACUUCCAAGGAAGGCAGCAGGCGCGCAACUUACCCUAAUCUCGAUUCGAGGAGGUAGUGACAAGAAAUACCGAUGCGGGACCCUACGGGUGCCGCGUUCGGAAUGAGUACGAUUCGAACCACCUAACGAGGAACGAUCGGAGGGCAAGUCUGGUGCCAGCAGCCGCGGUAAUUCCAGCUCCAAUAGCGUACGUUAAAGUUGCUGCAGUUAAAAAGCUCGUAGUUGAACGUUCGGGUUCCGCGGACGGGGCCGCCCCGCGAGGGACGGCGCCGCCCCGGGCUCGUGAUAUCUCAUCUCGCCGCCCGUCGCGAGGCGGACGGAGGGAUGGAUGAGGUUACCUGGAAAAAAUCGGGGCGAUCUAGGCGGGCGAACCUCGCCAACGAACGAUCGGACAUGGG
rnacentral:rRNA from 1 species